UUAUUUGUCUUUGCAAACUAAGUUUUGUUAUAAUGGAAUUUCUUUUGAAGUUGUUGUUUAACUAUUUUGUGUUAAUUGUUGCUAUUGUAGGUGCUCAUGUUGGGAAUGCACAAGACUUACCACCAUGCUGCGCGCAUCCUGGUCUUGAAUGUCAACCAAUUCAUUGUCCUAAACUCCCAUGUUGCAAACCUUCUACGCCUCCUAAUAGUGAUACAAAGCUUUGAAAUUUCUCAUAUCGUUUUUCCUACUGUUAAACCAAUCAAUUGUAUUUGAGAUAACUUUAUGAGUUUUAGUUAAUUAUUAAUAAGAUUGGUUAAUAAAUUAUGUUCUCUUAUUCUCUACUAAUGUUUGCCAAGGAAUUAACUCUUUAUUGAGUAUAAUUAUAUCUUCAUUAUAAUGGAUUCAUAUAUGUUAUGUUGAACUGCUUGUCGAUUACAUCAAUCAUCAAUUGAGUAAAACUAAAAAAUUGUUUUUAAAGAAACUGUUUAACGAAAAAAUAGUUUAACACGUAAUGAUUUAAAUAAAAAUAAUUUUUUAAACAAUUUAAGAAAUGGAAAAAAAACAUUUCCUAAAACUUGAAGUUAUUAAAAUAUUAUAAUGUUUCAUAAAAAAAUGUAUUUUCAUCUUUUUUUUUGGUAUCGAGGACAAAUAUGUAGCAUUGAGCUAAAUACAUUUUUUUACCAGCCAAUAUUAAUCUUCAUAUCUUAACAAAACUGAUUUUACAUAUAAUCAUAUAAAAUUUAUAUAUACAGUUGUUGUAAUUUAUUAAAUGUUAAAAUCUAAACAGUAGUAAUAAACUAUUUAAAUUAACCGCUUAUAUUAUUUUGUCUAAUAUUAUUUUUUCCUUUAUUUUUUAUUAUUAAAUUUUAAGUAGAAACCAAAUCUUUAAAUACAUACAUUUAAAAUUUAAAUUUAAAUAAUUGAUUAUAAAUUAUUUAGGCCUUUGGGUAUAUAAUAUAAAAUUAGUUAUAGAUAAACAUAGGGAACGCACACUUAUGAUAUCAUUUAAAUAAUGUUUUGAAUGUUUAUAAAAAUAUAUUUUGAAUUAUAUUUUGAUAAACUUGUAGAAUACUUACUCAUUGUUUAAAUUUAUAAAAAAAAAAUAUUUGUCGAAGGAAUAAUAAACAUAAUGUUAAAAUAUCGAUGAUAAUAAUAAACUAGAGUAUAUAUUUGGAUCAAAAACAUUCCCCCGUGUGGGUUUUCUAAUUAAGAUGAGGAUAAAUUUUUUUCGUAUAAGAAUAACAUAAAAAAAUGACUUAAAAUCAAAAAUUAGCUUUUCCUUUGAUGUAUGAACAAUAGUUUUAGAUAUACAACUAUGAAUUUUAAACUUAUGGAUUACGGAGCUCCCUGUCUAGAAAUACAACAUAUACCACGAUGUUUCAUAAGUAAACCUCUUAUUAAUUUAACAUGAAAAACAUGUGAUCCAUAUCUAUACUAGUAGACAGUUUGGUUCCUCAUUUUUAGGGUUACACAAAAUUGUUUUUGAAUAUUUAUAAAAUAUUAACUAAAAGAAAAUAAAAGAUACUAGUUUUCCAAUAAUAAGGUGUUUGUUUUAUCGAUAUGAAAGAACACUUUUAACGGGCUUCUUAAUUUUCUCUGACUAUUAACUAGAAAUUGGUCAAUUUGGUUAAGAACAUAAGUUUUGAAGAAUUUCUUAAAGGUUUUAAUUGAUUUUGAUAAUUUUGACAGUAAAUAUGUAAUAUGUUAAGAUGAAUACAAAAUAGAAUUAAUAAUAUUGAAUAAGACAGGGUUUCAGGUUUUAAAAAGAUUAAANAUUUAUUAAUAAGAUUGGUUAAUAAAUUAUGGUCUCUUAUUCUCUACUAAUGUUUGCCAAGGAAUUAAACUCUUUAUUGAGUAUAAUUAUAUCUUCAUUAUAAUGGAUUCAUAUAUGUUAUGUUGAAAUGCUUGUCGAUUACAUCAAUCAUCAAUUGAGUAAAACAAAAAAAUUGUUUUUAAAGAAACUGUUUUAACGAUAAAAUAGUUUACCACGUAAUGAUUUAAAUAAAAAUAAUUUUUUAAACAAUUUAAGAAUUGGAAAAAAAACAUUUCCUAAAACUUGAAGUUAUUAAAAUAUUAUAAUGUUUCAUAAAAAAAUGUAUUUGGUAUCGAGGACAAAUACGUAGCAUUGAGCUAAAUACAUUUUUUUACCAACCAAUAUUAAUCUUCAUAUCUUAACAAAACUGAUUUUACAUAUAAUCAUAUAAAAUUUAUAUAUACAGUUGUUGUAAUUUAUUAAAUGUUAAAAUCUAAACGGUAGUAAUAAACUAUUUAAAUUAAACGCUUAUAUUAUUUUGUCUAAUAUAAUUUUUUCCCUUUAUUUUUUAUUAUUAAAUUUUAAGUAGAAACCAAAUCUUUANAAAAAGAGAGAGAUACUUCUACUGUUAAACAAUCAAUUUGUAUUGAAGAUAACUUUACAUGAGUUUUAUUAUUAUUAAUAAGAUUGGUAUAUAAAUUAUGGUCUCUUAUUCUCUUACUAAGUUUGCCAAGGAAUUAAACUCUUAUUGAAGUAUAUUAUAUCUUUCAUUAUAUGGAUUCAUCUUGUUAAGUUGAACUGCUUGUCGAUUACAUCAUAUCAAUUGAGUAAACUAAAAAUUGUUUUAAGAAACUGUUUUAACGUAAAACUAGUUUACCAGUAAUGAUUUAAAUAAAAUAAUUUUUAAUCAUUUAAGAUUGGAAAAAAAACAUUUCCUAAAACUUAGUUAUUAAAAUAUUAAUGUUCAUAAAAAAUGUAUUUUCAUCUUUUUAUUUGGUAUCGAGGACAAAUACGUAGCAUUGAGCUAAAUACAUUUUUUACCAACCAAUAUUAAUCUUCAUAUCUUAACAAACUGAUUUACAUAUAAUUAUAUAUACAGUUGUUGUAAUUUAUUAAAUGUUAAAAUCUAAACAGUAGUAUAAACUAUUUAAAUUAAACGCUUAUAUUAUUUGUCUAAUAUAAUUUUUCCCUUAUUUUUAUUAUUAAUUUUAAGUAGAAACCAAUCUUUAAAUACAUAUAUUUAAAUUUAAUUUAAAUAAUUGAUUAUAAAUUAUUUAGCCUUUGUUAUAAUAUAAAUUAGUUAUAGAUAAACAUAGGGAACGCACACUUAUGAUAUCAUUUAUUAAUGUUUGAAUGUUAAAAAUAUAUUUGAAUUAUAUUUGAUAAACUUGUAGAAUACUUACUCAUUGUUUAAAUUUAUAAAAAAAAAUAUUUGUCGAAGGAAUAAUAAACAUAAUGUUAAAUAUCGAUGAUAUAAUAAACUAGAGUAUAUAUUUGGAUCAAAACAUUCCCCGUGUGGGUUUUCUAAUUAAGAUGAGGAUAAAUUUUUUUCGUAUAAGAAUAACAUAAAAAAUGACUUAAAAUCAAAAUUAGCUUUCUUUGAUGUAUGAACAAUGUUUUAGAAUAUACAUAUGAAUUUAAACUUAGGAUUACGGAGCUCCCUGUCUAGAAAUACACAAUAUACCACGAUGUUUCAUAAGUAAACCUCUUAUUAAUUUAACAUGAAAACAUGUGAUCCAUAUCUAUACUAGUAGACAGUUUGGUUCCUCAUUUUAGGGUUACACAAAAUUGUUUUUGAAUAUUUAUAAAAUAUAACUAAAAGAAAUAAAAGAUCUAGUUUUCCAAUAAUAAGGUAUUUGUUUUAUCGAUAUGAAAGACACUUUUAACGGGCUUCUUAAUUUUCUCUGACUAUUAACUAGAAAUUGGUCAUUUGGUUAAGAACAUAAGUUUUGAAGAAUUUCUUAAGGUUUUAAUUGAUUUUGAUAAUUUUGACAGUAAAUAUGUAAUAUGUUAAGAUGAAUACAAAAUAGAAUUAAUAAUAUUGAAUAAGACAGGGUUUCAGGUUUUAAAAGAUUAAACUUUCUCACAAUUAUGUUAUCAACCAUUAAAUAAAUAGAUGUCUUUUUUUUCUUCAUAUUUUAAAGUAAAUUACUUUUUCGAAGACACUAUGAUUUAUUUUAGUGAGGGCGUAAUUUCUCUGAUACAAACUAAUUUUAAUUGACUUUUAAUAUAUAGUAAAAAAAUUUAUAUAAUUAUACACCAUAAAUUUUUUGUUAAAUACAAAAUAUCUAUCAAAUAGUGAAAUUGUUUGAAUAGGCGAAAAAAACAUAGAUAAUAGUUAGUCAAGAAAAAAAGUGAAGUCAAUGGAAAAAAAAGUUAGUCAUUGUUACAGAAAUAUAUUGUUAAAAAUUAAUUUUAGUAAGUCUAAAUGCAUAUAUAUUUAAAAAUUGAAAUUCUAGAACGCUCUAUUUUAUUUCCUAUAAAUAAAAAAAAUGUACAUAUUUUAUUCCAAAUAAAACUCAAUAUCAGAUAUCCAUUUUAUUGUCUUUGAAAACUAAGUUUUGUUAUAAGGAAUCUCUUUUGAAGUUGUUGUUUAAGUAUUUUGUGUUAAUUGUUGCUAUUGUAGGUGCUCAUGUUGGGAAUGCACAAACUUACCACCAUGCUGCGCACAUCCUGGUUUGAUAUGUCAACCAAUUCAUUGUCCUAAACUCCCAUGUUGCAAACCUUUACACCUCCUAAUAGUGAUACAAAGCUUUGAAAUUUCUCAUUUCGUUUAUUCCUACUGUUAAACCAAUCAUUUGUAUUUGAGAUAACUUUACAUGAGUUUUAGUUAAUUUAUUAAUAAGAUUGGUUAAUAAAUUAUGGUCUCUUAUUC
rnacentral:lncRNA from 1 species